rnacentral:rRNA from 1 species
CCUCUAGAGAUUCCUACGGGAGGCAGCAGUAGGGAAUCUUCCGCAAUGGACGAAAGUCUGACGGAGCAACGCCGCGUGAGUGAUGAAGGCUUUCGGGUCGUAAAACUCUGUUGUUAGGGAAGAACAAGUGCUAGUUGAAUAAGCUGGCACCUUGACGGUACCUAACCAGAAAGCCACGGCUAACUACGUGCCAGCAGCCGCGGUAA